AUGCCAAAUGAAUAUCCUGUAGUCUUGACCUCCAUGUGGAAUAUUUCUGUGAAAAUACGAAAAAAUUUCCAGCUAGUAAAUAGAUUCUUUCCUAUUAAUAUUGGAGAAAAACCUGUUUGUUGCUGGCAGCCUUCUCUUGGAGGAAUGUGAUGCAGAGCACAGAUAAAAGCACGAGCAUCUGUUAAGAUGAUUGGCAUUAUCCUGACAACAGUGUAAAAAUCAUCUGCUUGGGAUGGCAAGCAGGCACAAGACAAACAAAAUCAACAUCAGCUUCAAUUUACAGUGAGUAUGAUAAAGCAUAUGGUGUAAUUCAAGGAGGCUGUGCAAAGCUUGUUGCUU
rnacentral:lncRNA from 1 species